rnacentral:rRNA from 1 species
UCUCGGCUCUUGCAUCGAUGAAGAACGUAGUGAAAUGCGAUACUUGGUGUGAAUUGCAGAAUCUCGUGAACCAUUGAGUCUUUGAACGCAAGUUGUGCCCGAGGCCUUGUGGCCGAGGGCACGCCUGCUUGGGCGUCAUGGCAACAUCGCCUUUGCUCCUUGCUUUU